GUCAAUGAUGAUUUGUCCAGGGUUUGAGAUUAGUUAGUUUCAAGACCCUGUCUUCAGAGAGAACCUCAUUGAGGCUGCUAAAUCAUAAUACGAAUUUACUGGACCAUUCUGAGAU